GAUGAACGCUGGCGGCGUGCCUAAUACAUGCAAGUCGAGCGAACGGACGAGAAGCUUGCUUCUCUGAUGUUAGCGGCGGACGGGUGCGUAACACGUGGAUAACCUACCUAUAAGACUGGGAUAACUUCGGGAAACCGGAGCUAAUACCGGAUGAUAUUUUGAACCGCAUGGUUCAAAAGUGAAAGACGGUCUUGCUGUCACUUAUAGAUGGAUCCGCGCUGCAUUAGCUAGUUGGUAAGGUAACGGCUUACCAAGGCAACGAUGCAUAGCCGACCUGAGAGGGUGAUCGGCCACACUGGAACUGAGACACGGUCCAGACUCCUGCGGGAGGCAGCAGUAGGGAAUCUUCCGCAAUGGGCGAAAGCCUGACGGAGCAACGCCGCGUGAGUGAUGAAGGUCUUCGGAUCGUAAAACUCUGUUAUUAGGGAAGAACAUAUGUGUAAGUAACUGUGCACAUCUUGACGGUACCUAAUCAGAAAGCCACGGCUAACUACGUG
rnacentral:rRNA from 1 species